rnacentral:tRNA from 1 species
GGCAGGGUAGCUCAAUGGUGGAGCAAUGGAAUCAUAACCCAUCGGUUGUGGGUUCGAGUCCCACCCCUGCCA